UCCAGAGUCAGGAAGAAAGGAUAAAGAAUAGUUCUCUGCGUGGAGAGAGGGAAGUCAGGACAGGGUAUGAUCUGAGAGAGAGUUUCAUCUGCUUUCACUGUACUAGAGGCAGAGAGAGACACCAGGAGGACAGGGUCCUGCCUUCUGGGAGCUCACGGCCUGGUGAAGGAGGCAGGCAUGCUCACAAGAAAUUAGCCUGCAAGGCUGAAUGAAAGAAAUUUGCCCAGAAAGCUGCAAAAUCAGGUGACUGGAUAGCAGUGGAAGGGGUUUGAAUAGGAAGAGCCGUGAUAGAAUUUAUUUUGAAAGCUGCCUCUACUUCCUCUGUGGGAUGUGAAUCGAGCGCGCACACGGCUGAAGGUGGGAAACCAGGAGACUGCGGUGGUCGCGCAGGGGACAGAUGAGCUGGCAGCGUCCUGUAGCAGAAUGGCACACUGAAGAAAUCGUCCAGGGAGGGACCCAGGAGUCUUGGCAGCUAUGGAUGAAAUGUGAGCUGAUUUAGAUACCAGUGGGAAGGAGCCAGUUGAGCGGAAGCAGGUGGAAUCCCAAUGGAAGGAGGGGACAGUGAAUGGACAAGUGUCGUGAGAAGUUUGGAGUCGAGUGGAGUGCCAGGAUCUGCCCGGGGCAGCUGAGACCAAGACUUCUCUUUUUCUCUGAAUGUGCCAGGCUGUGAGAACGCUGACAACUGCCCUCCGUGACGA